UGCAAUUUUAAGACAUAUAGAUUUCUUCUUGUAUAUGUUGUACCUAUUCCAUAUAGUUUUAUACCUAUGUUUGACUUGGGUUUGUGUUAUAAGACUUACAAGUUCUAUGGCUUUGAGUCGUGUCUGACAAGCUUUAUUUGAUUGUACUCAUACAUAUUCUGCGCUUUGGCGGCUGUGUAAAAGCUACAUAUGGUUUUGUGCCUAUGUUCAAGUAGGGCUUGUGUUAUAUGCUGUUACACGUUCUAUGCCUAUGAGCCGUUUCAUACAAGUUUUGUUCAUUCUACCGAUCUUAUACCUAUUUUGCUCGUGCCUGUAUUAUACGUGUUUAUACAUUUUCUCUUUAUAAGGUAUUUAAUUUGUAUUUUAUGACUUAGUGCUUUUGAUGUUGGAGUGUGUGUUCUUAUGAAUUAACUAACGUCGGCCUGGACAGUAUGUGUUUAUACAUUUUCUCUUUACACGGUAUAGGCAUAUUUAGUGUGUGUUUUUAUGAUGUUUUCUCUUUACACGGUAUAGGCAUAUUUAGUGCGUGUUUUUAUGACAUUUGAUGUUGGGGGAGGCCAUUCGUGUAUUGUUCACAGAACGAUGUGCGUGGACAGCUCGGACUUGCUGACUACGGAGUGCGGGUGGACUUUUAAGCGGACGGACUUGUAUUUCAGAAAAAAAUUACACCCAAAUCUCCGCUCAUCGCAUCAUAUACAAGAAGGUUUGCUGUAUGUAAAAGAUUUUAAAAAAACACCUACGUACUAUCGCUUCAGCAGAAUGUGACACUUCCGUAGGCCAAAUGACAUCAACACACCGGCACAGCAGCGAUAUUUAUGUAUUUAUAUGUACUUGUUAUGUAUUAAGUAUGUAUGUUAUGUAUAAGCGGGGCUUAUAUUUAUUUGUUAUUACUGCAAAUAUUAUAAUGGUGUUAAGCUUAUAAUAGUGCAGGCCUACAGGGGAACCAGCCAUUUCAGACAAUUCGAAACGCGCCUAUCACGGUACCUUAAAUGUGGUGUGAAAAACCGUGAGAAGAAUCUUAUGGCAUGUAGAACUAACCAAGGUGAGUGGUAAUGCUUACUUAAUGUUACAUAUUAUAAAUUUAAACAAUUUUUGAUAAAAACUAUUUCAUAACAAUUU